GCCAGACUCCUACGGGAGGCAGCAGUGGGGGAUAUUGCACAAUGGGGGGAACCCUGAUGCAGCGACGCCGCGUGGGUGAAGGAGCGUUUCGGCGCGUAAAGCCCUAUCGGCAGGGAAGAAGGAGGACGGUACCUGACUAAGAAGCCCCGGCUAACUACGUGCCAGCAGCCGCGGUAAUACGUAGGGGGCAAGCGUUAUCCGGAUUUACUGGGUGUAAAGGGGGCGCAGACGGCAGCGCAAGCCAGGAGUGAAAGCCCGGGGCCCAACCCCGGGACUGCUCUUGGAACUGCGCGGCUGGAGUGCAGGAGGGGCAGGCGGAAUUCCUGGUGUAGCGGUGAAAUGCGUAGAUAUUAGGAGGAACACCAGUGGCGAAGGCGGCUUACUGGACAGUAACUGACGUUGAGGCUCGAAAGCGUGGGGAGCAAACAGGAUUAGAUACCCCGGUAC
rnacentral:rRNA from 1 species